UCGCCAUAGUAGCCUGAGGGCACCCCAGCAUGGAAGCUAAGCAGGGUCGAGCCUGGCUGGUGCUUGAAUGGGUGGACACGUGGAAAGACCAGGCCUGAA
rnacentral:rRNA from 1 species